ACCGUUGGAAGAACGACGUGACGCGCGGGAACGAGCAGGAAAAUUCCUGUUGCAAGUUCUAGAAGGAUCUUUGCGAUUGGUCCCGUAUAUAAUCGUGAGAUCGCGCGCGAUUGGCUGGCGUUCGCCGAUUUCUGGACCUCGCUGGGGUGCGUUCCAAAAUUAACCUCGGGUAAUCCUAGUGAUUAUCCUAGGUAGACGCGAUGUGAGUUAUCUGAGGUUGGGUAACCACAAUAACCUCUCAAUUUUACGAGGUAAGAAAGUUACCUUCGGCGUCAACUAACUAUGAGUUGUAGAACGACAUUAAACUCCUACCAUUGAUUAACAUCGUGCUGCAACUCCGCUGCUGCGCGUCGGGUUGGUGAGUCGUUUGUUUUUAUCUCACGCGAUCUGCAAACAUUGCAGAUGAAUCUAGCAGAAAAUUAAUUAGAUUGUUAUCUAAACGGUCAUAAUUGUUGCGACCAUUUCAGGUACGAAAUGCGCAUUCUGUAUUUGCCCCUCGAAAAAACACGCGUACGAAAUUACAUUAGACGUCAAAGAACUCGUGAACCAUAAUUAAAUUCGAUUAGAAUUCGAGAUUAGAAUUCAAUCAAUCACUGAAA
rnacentral:misc_RNA from 1 species